GACGACAACCGGAAGUGUUCCACUUGCAUCACUCCCCUCCUCGUUUUGUACUCACGAGAAGCAGAGCUCGGGCCCACGAGACGAGACGAGACGUUGACAGGAGCUUUAAGAAAAGUGCAACAGCAAAAUAUGAGUGGACAAAGCAGCCACCAUCUUCACCGUCCGCCACGCCGCCAAUCAAGUCGCCAUUAAAGGGCACAAAUGAUGCUUUGUGCACGUUCCUGAGCUGUAAACGGAGGUUGAAUGUUGGAUUCUCACGUGCCAAAGCUUCAGAUCAUGACGUUUCAUGUAGUGAAAGGAAGGCGUUGUCAUCUUUCCGGUUGUGAGCGUGUGCUUUGUGACACGUACUCUAUUUGCUCACAUGCCAUUGGUGCUGCCUAACAUUUGCAGCAUUUCUUACAGCAAAGGCUGUCUUUUCAACAGGAUUCUUUUGCCAUGACGUGUGACUGUUGCAUUUGUAUUGAUGUUACUGACAUGAUGA